CUGUACUAAGGUAGCAUAAUAAUUUGCCCUAUAAAUUGGGGCUAGAAUGAAUGGUUUGACGAGAAUUUAACUGUCUCUAUUUUAUUUAUUAGAAAUUAAUUUUUAUAGUGAAAAAGCUUUAAUUAUUUAAAGGGACGAAAAGACCCUAUUGAGCUUUUGUUAUUAUAUAGAUAUAUAUGUAUAUAUAUAAUUUAUUUGUAAAUAACUUUGGUUGGGGUGAUCAAGGAAUAAAAUUAAUUUAAAGUAUUGUAUUAACUUCCUUAAUUUUGAGUUUAGUUGAAGAAUAAACCAAGUUUUUUGCUUAGAAGAUAAGUUACCAUAGGGAUAACAGCGUAAUUUUUUUUGAGAGUUCAUAUUGAAAAAAGAGAUUGCGACCUCGAUGUUGGAUUA
rnacentral:rRNA from 1 species